rnacentral:lncRNA from 1 species
GUUUCAUUGCCAGCUGUAAGGAUGAAGCAGCUUCAUAGCCGGACAUCAGACGCCUUCCAAGUUCCCCUUUUCAGCAACAGAGGCAUAGGAUGCCAUUCUACCUGUGCUGCAUUGUGUGGCUGACCACUCCUAGGAUCUCAGCAGAAUCAUUACACAGGAAGUCCUGCUGACCCCAAGCAUGGCGUGAAAUGAAGAAAUGGCACUCCACAUCCAUAGAGAGCUUGAUUUCCCCUGUUUCAUGCUUACUUGUUGGC